AUGAAGUAUGAACUAGAGCUUCUGAAGAGAUUUGAGCUAGAAAAUUGCAAGGUUGCUAUCACACCUGCUGAUACGAAUCAGAAGUUGGAUUCUGAUUCUGAUGGAGAGGAUGUGGAUGCUACAAUCUUCAAACAGAUGGUUGGUUCUCUAAGGUAUUUGUGUAAUACCAGACCUGAUAUUUGCUAUAUAGUUGGAAUGGUUAGCAGAUUUAUGAGCAAAUCAAAGUGGUCCCAUUACCCAGCUGCAGUCAGGAUUCUGAGGUAUGUGAAGGGAACUCUGAAAUAUGGAGUGUUAUUUCCGUCUGGAAAAAAGAUCGAAUCAGAACUUCUGAGUUAUUCUGAUUCUGAUUGGUGCGGAGAUAGAGUUGACAGAAGAAGUACUUCUGGGUACUUAUUCAAAUUUCUGGGAGGUCCUAUUUCUUGGUGUUCCAAGAAGCAACCUGUCGUUGAUCUGUCAACCUGUGAAGCU